rnacentral:rRNA from 1 species
AUUGAACGCUGGCGGCAGGCCUAACACAUGCAAGUCGAGCGGAUGAAGGGAGCUUGCUCCUGGAUUCAGCGGCGGACGGGUGAGUAAUGCCUAGGAAUCUGCCUGGUAGUGGGGGAUAACGUCCGGAAACGGGCGCUAAUACCGCAUACGUCCUGAGGGAGAAAGUGGGGGAUCUUCGGACCUCACGCUAUCAGAUGAGCCUAGGUCGGAUUAGCUAGUUGGUGGGGUAAAGGCCUACCAAGGCGACGAUCCGUAACUGGUCUGAGAGGAUGAUCAGUCACACUGGAACUGAGACACGGUCCAGACUCCUACGGUAGGCAGCAGUGGGGAAUAUUGGACAAUGGGCGAAAGCCUGAUCCAGCCAUGCCGCGUGUGUGAAGAAGGUCUUCGGAUUGUAAAGCACUUUAAGUUGGGAGGAAGGCAGUAAGUUAAUACCUUGCUGUUUUGACGUUACCAACAGAAUAAGCACCGGCUAACUUCGUG